rnacentral:snRNA from 1 species
UCCUGUGAGGUGGAUAUUUG